rnacentral:ncRNA from 1 species
CAAAGGCUUGGUCCUGACUUUUCUGUCAACUCUAACCUGACUUACACAUGCAAGUCUCCGCACCCCCGUGAGAAUGCCCUACAGUUCCCCGCCCGGGAACAAGGAGCUGGUAUCAGGCACAAUCCAAAAUUAGCCCAAGACACCUUGCUUAGCCACACCCUCAAGGGAACUCAGCAGUGACAGACAUUAAGCCAUAAGUGAAAACUUGACUUAGUUAAGGUUUCAAGAGGGCCGGUAAAACUCGUGCCAGCCACCGCGGUUAUACGAGAGGCCCAAGCUGACAGACAUCGGCGUAAAGAGUGGUUAGGAAAUAUAAAUUAAACUAGAGCCGAAUGCUUCCAAGGCUGUUAUACGCACCCGAAAGCAAGAAGUACAACAACGAAAGUGGCCCUAUUAAUUCUGAACCCACGAAAGCUAAGGCACAAACUGGGAUUAGAUACCCCACUAUGCCUAGCCCUAAACAUUGAUGGUCCCCCCACUUAAACCAUCCGCCAGGGAACUACGAGCAUUAGCUUAAAACCCAAAGGACUUGGCGGUGCUUUAGAUCCACCUAGAGGAGCCUGUUCUAGAACCGAUAACCCCCGUUCAACCUCACCUUUCCUUGUUCAACCCGCCUAUAUACCACCGUCGUCAGCUUAUCCUGUGAAGGCCUUUUAAUAAGCAAAACUGGCAAAGCCUAAAACGUCAGGUCGAGGUGUAGCGUACGGAAAGGGAAGUAAUGGGCUACAUUCCCUAUCCUAGGUAAUCACGGACGAUAUACUGAAAUAUAUAUCUAAAGGAGGAUUUAGUAGUAAGAGAAGAAUAGAGAGCUUCUCUGAAACCGGCCCUGAAGCGCGCACACACCGCCCGUCACUCUCCCCAAGCUCCCACCAACCCCAUAAUUAAUUCACCAACUUUGCUAAGGGGAGGCAAGUCGUAACAUGGUAAGUGUACUGGAAGGUGCACUUGGACAAAU